rnacentral:rRNA from 1 species
AAUCAACGCUGGCGGCGUGCCUCAGACAUGCAAGUCGAACGCGAAAGUUUCCUUCGGGAGACAAGUAGAGUGGCGCACGGGUGAGUAACACGUAGGUAAUCUACCUUUGGAUGGGGAAUAACAACCGGAAACGGUUGCUAAUACCGCAUAAUGCAGCGGCACCUAAUGGUGACAGUUGUUAAAGCGGGGGAUCGAAAGACCUCGCGUCUGAAGAGGAGCCUGCGGCAGAUUAGCUAGUUGGUGAGGUAAUGGCUCACCAAGGCUUCGAUCUGUAGCUGGUCUGAGAGGACGGCCAGCCACACUGGCACUGACACACGGGCCAGACUCCUACGGGAGGCAGCAGUGGGGAAUUUUGGGCAAUGGGCGAAAGCCUGACCCAGCAACGCCGCGUGAGGGAGGAAAUCCUUCGGAUGUAAACCUCACAAGCAAGGGAAGAGAGCUACGGGCUGAAUAAUCCCGUAGUGCGACGGUACCUUGCGUAAGCCACGGCUAACUACGUGCC